GGACGGGUGGGUGAGUGGUUAAUACCACCAGACUGUAAAUCUGGCGCCCGGAAGGGCUACGGGGGUUCGAAUCCCUCCCCGGCCACCA
rnacentral:tRNA from 1 species